UACGAAGGGGGCUAGCGUUGCUCGGAAUUACUGGGCGUAAAGGGAGCGUAGGCGGAUAGUUUAGUCAGAGGUGAAAGCCCAGGGCUCAACCCUGGAAUUGCCUUUGAUACUGGCUAUCUUGAGUAUGGGAGAGGUUAGCGGAACUCCGAGUGUAGAGGUGAAAUUCGUAGAUAUUCGGAAGAACACCAGUGGCGAAGGCGGCUAACUGGCCCAUUACCUGACGCUGAGGCUCGAAAGCGUGGGGAGCAAACAGGG
rnacentral:rRNA from 1 species